CCUACGGGUGGCUGCAGUGGGGAAUAUUGGGCAAUGGGCGCAAGCCUGACCCAGCAACGCCGCGUGAAGGCAGAAGGCUUUCGGGUUGUAAACUUCUUUUCUGAGGGACGAAGAAGGUGACGGUACCUCCGGAAUAAGCCACGGCUAACUACGUGCCAGCAGCCUCGGUAAUACGUAGGUGGCAAGCGUUAUCCGGAUUUAUUGGGUUUAAAGGGCGUGUAGGCGGGAAAGGAAGUCAGAUGUGAAAACUCAGGGCUCAACCCUGAGACUGCAGUUGAAACUGUUUUUCUUGAGUGCUGGAGAGGAAAUCGGAAUUCCGGGUGUAGCGGUGAAAUGCGUAGAUAUAAGGAGGAACACCAGUGGCGAAGGCGGAUUGCUGGACAGUAACUGACGCUGAGGCGCGAAAGCGUGGGGAGCAAACAGGAUUAGAUACCCGAGUAGUC
rnacentral:rRNA from 1 species